rnacentral:rRNA from 1 species
UACGUAGGGGGCAAGCGUUGUCCGGAAUCAUUGGGCGUAAAGAGCGUGUAGGCGGCCAGAAAAGUCCGCUGUGAAAACUCGAGGCUCAACUUCGAGCUGUCGGUGGAAACUUUCUGGCUAGAGUCCGGAAGAGGAGAAUGGAAUUCCUGGUGUAGCGGUGAAAUGCGCAGAUAUCAGGAGGAACACCGGCGGCGAAGGCGGCACUCUGGGCCGGUACUGACGCUGAGGAGCGAAAGCGUGGGUAGCAAACAGG